UGGGGAAUCUUGGACAAUGGGCGGAAGCCUGAUCCAGCCAUGCCGCGUGAGUGAAGAAGGCCCUAGGGUCGUAAAGCUCUUUCGCCAGGGAUGAUAAUGACAGUACCUGGUAAAGAAACCCCGGCUAACUCCGUGCCAGCAGCCGCGGUAAUACGGAGGGGGUUAGCGUUGUUCGGAAUUACUGGGCGUAAAGCGCGCGUAGGCGGACUAUUAAGUCAGGGGUGAAAUCCCGGGGCUCAACCCCGGAACUGCCUUUGAUACUGGUAGUCUAGAGUUCGAGAGAGGUGAGUGGAACUCCGAGUGUAGAGGUGAAAUUCGUAGAUAUUCGGAAGAACACCAGUGGCGAAGGCGGCUCACUGGCUCGAUACUGACGCUGAGGUGCGAAAGUGUGGGGAGCAAACAGGAUUAGAUACCCGGGUAGUCC
rnacentral:rRNA from 1 species